rnacentral:tRNA from 1 species
GCCGCUAAGCGGCUGGACGGUAACGCUUUUCCGAGAACCUACCCCUGCCUUCGUAAUGAUGGGGUCAGGUGUUCGAGUCACCUAAGCGGCACCA